AGAGUUUGAUCCUGGCUCAGAACGAACGCUGGCGGCGUGCCUAACACAUGCAAGUCGAGCGAGAAAGCCCGCAAGGGUGAGUAAAGCGGCGCACGGGUGCGUAACACGUGGGUAAUCUGCCCUGAAGUCCGGAAUAACUCGCCGAAAGGCGUGCUAAUGCCGGAUGAGACCACGGGAGCCUCGGCUCCUGCGGGAAAAGGUGGCCUCUGUACACAAGCUAUCACUUCAGGAUGAGCCCGCGGCCCAUCAGCUCGUUGGCGGGGUAAUGGCCCACCAAGGCUACGACGGGUAGCUGGUCUGAGAGGACGAUCAGCCACACUGGAACUGAGACACGGUCCAGACUCCUACGGGAGGCAGCAGUGGGGAAUCUUGCGCAAUGGGCGAAAGCCUGACGCAGCAACGCCGCGUGUGUGAUGAAGGUCUUCGGAUCGUAAAGCACUGUCGCGAGGGACGAAUAAGGGGCGGGCUAACAUCCCGUUCCGAUGACGGUACCUCGAGAGGAAGCACCGGCUAACUCUGUGCCAGCAGCCGCGGUAAUACAGAGGGUGCAAGCGUUGUUCGGAAUUAUUGGGCGUAAAGCGCGUGUAGGCGGCCAUGCAAGUCGGGUGUGAAAGCCCUCGGCUUAACCGAGGAAGUGCGCCCGAAACUACAUGGCUUGAGUACCGGAGAGGGUGGCGGAAUUCCCGGUGUAGAGGUGAAAUUCGUAGAUAUCGGGAGGAACACCAGCGGCGAAGGCGGCCACCUGGACGGAUACUGACGCUGAGACGCGAAAGCGUGGGGGAGCAAACAGGAUUAGAUACCCUGGUAGUCCACGCCCGUAACGAUGAGCGCUAGGUGUUGUGGGUGUUGACCCCUGCAGUGCCGCAGCUAACGCAUUAAGCGCUCCGCCUGGGAAGUACGGCCGCCAGGCUAAAACUCAAGAAUUGACGGGGCCCGCACAGCGGUGAAGCAUGUGUUUAAUUCGACGCACGCGCAGAACCUUACCUGGUCUUGGACAUCAUG
rnacentral:rRNA from 1 species